CGGGAAGACCCACUUUUAGGAGGAUUGUUGUCCAAAUGGUACAAAAGGAGAAGGGCGGGAAGGCUUUCAGCUGACUUCCCUUGUAGGCGCUUUGGCUGUUCCCUUCCGGAAGCUCUGCUUUUCGCCUGCCUUGGGCUUUGUCUCCUGGCUUUCGGUGCAGAUUCCUCAGCUUCCAGCACUGACCUUUCGGCUGCCGCAGACUGACUUCUAGAGCUGACCCUUCGACCUCCGGCACAGGCCCCUCUGUCUUCUGUCACGGAUCCUUCGGCCUCCUGAUGCAGACUCGUUGCCACGGGACAUUGCUGCGGACUCCCGGCCUUUGGCUGGACCCCUGGGAUCUGUAGCGCCUGGACGAUCUUUGGCUCGCUUCUACUUUUGACCCUGGACGGCUGUUGUAGGCGAGUCUCGUGGGUUUCCGUGUCCGGCAUUAAAUCUGAUGCAGAGCAUGUGCAGUCUUUUCAGGAGCCUCGCCCCAGCCCUGCAAGCUCUGGUGAACCCAGCACAUGCCACACAGCUAUGAGGACAGAGAUGGAUCUGAACUCCUGACUCUUGAACUCAGAAAUUCCCCUCCUUUUGCUGCCAGCAGUGCAAAUGUCCCCAGUCUGCUAGGAGGACACCUAUUGGCCACAUCAGGGCCACAGUGCAGCUGUGUGGGACACCACUUGCAGAAUUGCUGCUGUACAUGAAGUUGAAUUUCACCUUUGGGAAAGAGAUGACACGUGUGUGAAAAGCAUUUAACUCCUGGACACUUGGGACUGGAAAUCACAUGGAUCACAAUGACACACUGAAACACUUGGCCUUAGGGGGAAAAUGUGUUGUUUAUUAUAGAAAUGAAAAGCUGGAAAUGUACUGUCCUGUGACACAGGAUUUGAUGGUAUUUUAAAUUGUUACAAAAGAAAGGAAGGAAAGAGAGGGGAUGCUAAUAUUUGUAGCACAGUAAGAAUGUUUGUAGCCAGAGAUGAAUUAUGAACACUUAAAUUAGAAUUUCCUGCUCUGAAGCCAGGCAUGGUGGCAAUGCCUGUAAUCUCAGCAUUCUGGGAGGCUGAGGCUGGAGGAUCACAAGUCUGAGCCCAGCCUGGGCAUCUUAGCAAUUUAGGGAGACCCUGUCUAUUAUAGUUUAUAUAUAGAUGUCCCCCCCAAAGCCUCAUGUCCUCACAGGUGGGGUUGGGAAGGUGAUUGGAUCAUGGGUAUGUGAUACUUAUUAGUGAAUUAGUCCACUGAUGUGUUUAUAGCUAAAUGUGAUGUUGAGAGUCGAAGCCUGAUCGAAGGAGGUGGAUCACUGGGGCCUUGGCCUAGAAGGAUCUAACUCUCUCCUCCUCCCUUGAUCCCUUUCUGCUUCCUGCCUACCCUGCUAUGGACUGUUUCUUCUCUGCCAUGCCACUUUGCUUUGGAGCCAGUCAACUAAGGACUGACACUUCUACAAACUGUGAGCCAAAAUCAACCUCUCCUCCUUAACUUCUGAGUGUCAAAUAUUGUGUCCCAGUGAUGAGAAAAUA
rnacentral:lncRNA from 1 species